rnacentral:ncRNA from 1 species
CCUUUCCUAUAAAAGGGCGUCGCCGGGUGCAUGGGAAUUAAGCCCAUGGUGCGGAUAGUGAAAACCCCCGGAG